CGACAUUUGUUUUCUUCUUCUUCUUCUUGCCUUGACAACAACAGCAGCCUGCAGUCGUAUAUAUAUAGACAACAGAAACGUCUGCUGGGCAAACGUCACCGACGAAUGGAUCAUUUGGCGACGGCAGAUGCGCCGCCAGAGUCCACCGUCCAUCCACCGCCGCAUUGUCCGCACCAAGUUAAUUCCACCUCUAUAAGCGCCGGAAUCCAUGUUUGACUCGACUUGUAAUCUGCGCGUGGAAUUACUUCUUCUUUACUCACGGCCGCGAGUUAUAUACUUAUAUGCAUAGAAAUACUAGCGCUAAACGCGAAAUGAGCCUCAAGGCUCGCACACACACACACAAACACAGACUAAAAAAACCCCGUAGAAAAAUAAGCUGAUGAGAGUUUUUUUCUUUCUUCUUCUUCUCUUUAUAUACAUUAUGGAUUUUCUUAUGUCUGGGUGCGCACAUAUAUCUUGAGCCCGGGGUUUUGCUGCACUGCUGUGAUUAAGAUGGCAAUUUCCUUGGGAGCUGCUGCCGCUGCCUCCUCAUCCCAUAUACCCUCCUCCUCUAUGUAACAUCGAUUGUAUCAAAGUGCCAUCCAUACAUCUUAGGCGGCCUUCCGCCUUUAGACGACAAGCCCCUCUCUCUCCUUCGUUCCUAAAUCAUGAAACAAGAAGAAGAAGAAGGAACGAAAUAAAGUUAACGCACUAAACAAAACAAAAAAAUAUCCCAACAACUUGAUAUCCUUUCUACACAAGUUCGGCAGUAUAGAUUGCGCAACGAAAUUGCAAUUUACAUUAAAUGUUUAAUCACAAAAAAGGGGGGACUCGUGGGUUAUAUUAAUACGUCAUCGCCCGAGUAUUAUAAGAAAAAUAAAGCGAGAACUGCCAGGGUGUAAUAUAUUAUGAUGAUUGCGGUGGAAGAAGAGGCGGAGCUCAGUAGUUGACUUGGCCGAACUUUUUUUUUUUUUUGAUUGGGCCGGACGGGAGUAGUGACGAACCAGAGAGCAGUGCUCAGCGCACGAGCUAGAUUAGAGUUGUUUUCCCGCUCCGGUUUGGCAUACUUCCCGCCGCAUUUCACGUCCGACUCUGAUGCCCAGGUAUAGGUAUUUCUAUCUUCGCAGCCCUUCGUAAAAUGUGGCCAUUCUGUUUUUUGUGUGUUUUAUUUUUCCUCCCCCGUUAACUGUGAAGAUGAGUCACCUUACGAUGAGGGUUGUAAUGGUUUACCUCCCCCCAAAUGAUUACAGAUCGCCAAGAAUAUAUACUCUGCAGAUGCGCAGUGCACAACAACUGGAACCUGGCAGCAUCUAAGCCUUCGUUUAUCGCUCACCAAAAAAUCUGAAAGCCUAACGCAGUUUCGGUGACAAAUGGUUCGAUAACUCCAUCCGGAUGCGUUAUUAAAAAUAGCAAAGGGCGCACACACACAGCGAAGCGAGUGAAAAGCGUGAUCAUAAAUGGUCGCCAUCUGUUAGCGAGUCGUUCAAACUCGGUAAUAAGAUUAGAAGAGUAAAUAAAAACCUUGUUAUUUUUUUUUUCAUUCAAAUUGUGUGGAAUGACAUUUUUUGGAUCGCUUUGAAAUGGGAGAGGCAGUCGAGAAUGAAAGACUAACAGCAUCCGGGGGUAACUCUUUUUUUUGUGUGUGGUUACCAACCGAUUUAAUUUUAGGAAAUAUGUCGACUGCGAGGUGUUUUUGGGUGGCUUGCAAGUGUGGCGGAGAAUGUGCGCGUUACUUUGGUCUCACAAUAGAUGCGCCUCGUACCACCAGUCUACAAAAUGUUAAUGUUAACGAAGCUCAUUUAUUUUUAGGAUCUGCCGUCUCCUAACCAACAAUUCUCCCUUGCGUAAAGUUGACAGUUGGAACGACUUCUGGCCGCAGUCGGAAUGUGUUGCUGCUCCUUUCGAGUUUUUACUGCCCCGGCUAGUCUACGAGCUGUUGAGAAUAAUGUGAACGUCAAAUGGCAAAAAUUGAGAUAAAUCUCAAGACAGUUUGGUUUGUCCUGCCAUUCUUACCUCAAUACCUCAUACCUAAGCAACUAGAUGUAGAUCAUAUAAAAAUAAGAGACUGGAACAGAUCCAACCGUUAUAACAACUUGAUAUCUCAAGUAGGCCUACUGAGAAUACCGCAACCUUCUUUUACUGGAAGUAAAUCGAACAGUAAUAAAAUCCCAACCCUUUUCUUAGCUUUGUGACGCCAUGACACUGAGAGACUAUUAGAUAGUUUUCGUGUCAUACAUAAGAAUAUCAGAUUUGUAAUUGAUUAAAAAAAAAAAAUUUCAAAUUGAAUAUUUCGACUAGAACUGUUUCCCCGCCAUCUAGUGGUCGAAUACAAUGAAAUAACAAAAUUGAAAUUGAUCCUUGAUGCCACACUUGAUGGCAGUUCUUUUAACAAGUUGCAUGCUCUAGCGUCUAGCCUCAAAUGCAAAUGCAACCUAGAACCCCUUGAUGGGUGCAGUACUUUAGUUGAUGAUGCCAUUGUGUUAUCAACAAAAUGUGUAUAAUCAUUCAUGAGGUUGUCAACAUGAUGUCCAGCAUGUUGAUAUGCCUCUCCAAAUAAAUAAAUAAUUGCUUCAUUUAAAAAGAAUAUUAUUUUGCUUUACCAAAGUCUAAAUUAAAAUUAGUCAAUUUGAUGGUAGUUCUUCAUGGUUUCUCUUGGAUUGAAAUCAAUUGAAAAAUUUGAUAUUAACUUUUAAAGUAAUUUUAUUUUGUUUAUUUUGAUUUUUCUUUUGAAGUUCCG
rnacentral:lncRNA from 1 species